GGAGACAAAGAUAGUGUUUGCCAAAGAAUUUUGUUGUUUAAUAAACUGUGGGUGAUAACCCGAGUACAUGUCUUGUAGUCUGCUACGGGUAGUAGCGACAUAGAUUCUCUAUAUUCCAAGAGUUUGGUACUUCUUCGCCUGAGAGUUCCUGUAGUCGGUACGAUCCAGGCCCUGUGACCUUGGAUAUGACGUAGGGACCUUACCAUGGCGAGUUGAGUUUGUG
rnacentral:lncRNA from 1 species